rnacentral:lncRNA from 1 species
GGCUAGCAAAGAAAACAAAAAAAAGAGAAAACGAAAACUAAACAAACAUUACAAACUUUUCCACUUGUUUACUCGGUGCCCCCAACGCCCCCUUCAGCAUUAUCAGCGCCCUCGGCGCCAUCAUCACCCCCGGCGUAGACGGGUCAAAACCACAGUCAAGGCGGGCUUCGUGAGCCUUUUAGCGUGCCUCCUCAUAUGUGGCCUCAGACACGACGCCGGCUUGCCACAACCACCUGUACACAUUGAGUUGGGCCUCGGCAUACGUCCAAAGCUCACGAGAAGGACCGAAAGAAGCGGCCUGGUCCCUCAGGCGCUGGUUCUCGGCCUCUAAGGCCGCGAUCCGGUCCACUGCAGCACGGGCGUCCCUCUCACAUACGGCAAUGCGCCCUUCAACGACCGUUCUCGAAAGGAAGCGGCGGCCCUCUCUAAUCCACGCUCCAUUUCCUGGGCGCGGUUGGUCGCCUGCAAUGUUUCAACCCUCGCUAGGGCAUCCUCUGCCUGCUUCCUUGAAGUGGCGGCCUCAGACUCUAGGGCAGCCACCUGCCUAGUAUAAGCCUCACCUGCCGCAGCCAGAUUGUGGCGCUCCCUCUCAGCAGCCGCCCUUCUCUCAGCAUCCGCCCCUUCGUUCGCUUGGCGGAGCUGCCCCUCAAGGGCAGUUACCCUGCUGAGGGUCUGUUGCAUAUGAAGCUCCCUCCGCGCCAACUCUUCUACCAGCUCCCGGUUCCGUGGGUCGGUCCUUAUGCGUUCACGCAAGCCGUGGCACCAAUCACCGUAGCAGCGAUAC